rnacentral:misc_RNA from 1 species
UAUAAAGGCAGCAGAUCCUGCAGAGGCAGCCCGUGAAUAUCGACUUCAAGGAUGGGAUGCAUACCUAGCUAAAUGCACUUGAUGCUGCAAUUGGGUCUGCCUCCCUCAGUUUUUUAAUGCUCACAAUGGCUUUUGUUUGUUAAAAAGAUGAGCCAAGUUUUGUUUAAUUUUCAACUGCAUGAUCUUGGUAUACCAUACAAACUUGAUAAAAGCUUUUGAG